rnacentral:rRNA from 1 species
AUGAGGGCUCUCCCAAUGGCCGUCAGCCGUGGCGCCGUCGCCUGCGCCACCCCAGCCGCCGCCGUUCCCCGGAGAUCCAUGCUCCUCUCCAGCGCUGCCGCGGGCGCAGUUCUGCAGUCCGACCCCAUCAGGCUGAGCACGCCCAAGCUCAAGCUCCGCGCCUCCGCGGGCGCCGCGCAGGCCGCGGCCACCUCCUUCUCCAGCAAUGACGAGGCCUUUGCCUGGGCCAAGAAGGACAACAUGAGGCUCCUCCACGUCGUCUACGGCGUCGGCGACAUCGACAGGACCAUCAAGUUCUACACCGAAUGCCUGGGCAUGAAGCUGCUGAGGAAGCGUGACAUACCCGAAGAGAAGUACACCAAUGCCUUCCUCGGAUACGGCCCCGAGGAAACCAACUUUGCCAUCGAGCUCACCUACACCAAUGCCUUCCUCAGAACAAAUUACGGGGUUGACUCGUACGAUAUCGGAGCAGGCAUCGGUCAUUUCGGCAUCGCAACUGAUGAUGUGGCGAAAACAGUUGAACUCAUAAGGGCAAAGGGAGGCAAGGUGACUAGGGAGCCUGGCCCUGUCAAGGGUGGCAAGACCGUGAUUGCGUUUAUCGAAGACCCUGACGGCUACAAGUUCGAGAUCCUAGAGAGGCCAGGGACUCCAGAGCCACUAGGCCAAGUGAUGCUUCGUGUCGGUGAUCUUGACCGAGCCAUAAGCUUCUACGAGAAGGCUUGUGGUAUGAAACUGCUCCGGAAGCGAGACAACCCUGAAUACAAGUACACGGUGGUGAUGAUGGGUUACGGACCUGAAGACUAG